UACGGAAGGUCCGGGCGUUAUCCGGAUUUAUUGGGUUUAAAGGGAGCGUAGGCUGUCUAUUAAGCGUGUUGUGAAAUAUACCGGCUCAACCGGUGGCUUGCAGCGCGAACUGGUCGACUUGAGUAUGCAGGAAGUAGGCGGAAUUCAUGGUGUAGCGGUGAAAUGCUUAGAUAUCAUGACGAACUCCGAUUGCGCAGGCAGCUUACUGUAGCAUAACUGACGCUGAUGCUCGAAAGUGCGGGUAU
rnacentral:rRNA from 1 species